GGUAAGGCUCCUUCGGGAGUACACGAGCGGCGGACGGCUGAGUAACGCGUAGGAACGUACCCCAAACUGAGGGAUAACUGCUCGAAAGAGUAGCUAAUACCGCAUGUGCUCUACGGAGUAAAGCUACGGCGGUUUGGGAACGGCCUGCGUACGAUUAGAUUGUUGGUGAGGUAAUGGCUCACCAAGUCGACGAUCGUUAGCUGGUCUGAGAGGAUGAUCAGCCAGACUGGGACUGAGAACGGCCCAGACUCCUACGGGAGGCAGCAGUAGGGAAUUUUCCACAAUGGACGAAAGUCUGAUGGAGCAACGCCGCGUGCAGGAUGAAUGCCUUCGGGUUGUAAACUGCUUUUAUCUGUGACGAAUAUGACGGUAGCAGAUGAAUAAGGAUCGGCUAACUCCGUGCCAGCAGCCGCGGUCAUACGGAGGAUCCAAGCGUUAUCCGGAAUUACUGGGCGUAAAGAGUUGCGUAGGUGGCAGAGUAUGUCUGUAGUGAAAGCGUGUGGCUCAACCAUAUACACAUUACAGAAACUGCUCAGCUAGAGGGCGAGAGAGGUUACUAGAAUUCCUAGUGUAGGAGUGAAAUCCGUAGAUAUUAGGAGGAAUACCGAUGGCGUAGCAGGUAACUGGCUCGUCCCUGACACUAAAGCACGAAAGCGUGGGUAGCAAACGGGAUUAGAUACCCCGGUAGUCCACGCCGUAAACGAUGGAUGCUAGCUGUAAGAGGUAUCGA
rnacentral:rRNA from 1 species